CCUACGUGCGGCAGCAGUGGGGGAUAUUGCACAAUGGGGGGAACCCUGAUGCAGCGACGCCGCGUGGGUGAAGAAGGGCCUCGGCGCGUAAAGCCCUGUCAGCAGGGAAGAAAAUGACGGUACCUGAAGAAGAAGCCCCGGCUAACUACGGGCCAGCAGCCGCGGUAAUACGUAGGGGGCAAGCGUUAUCCGGAUUUACUGGGUGUAAAGGGGGCGCAGACGGCGAUGCAAGCCAGGAGUGAAAGCCCGGGGCCCCACCCCGGGACUGCUCUUGGAACUGCGUGGCUGGAGUGCAGGAGGGGCAGGCGGUAUUCCUGGUGUAGCGGUUCACUGCGUAGAUAUCAGGAGGCACACCGGUGGCGACGGCGGCCUGCUGGACUGCACCUGCCGUUGAGGCCCGAACGCGUGGGGAGCAAACAGGAUUAGCUACCCGUGUAGUC
rnacentral:rRNA from 1 species